rnacentral:misc_RNA from 1 species
AAAUCUCAUAAAUAAAACUUUCUGUUUGUUUGUGGACUUGAAUUUGCGAUUUUAUAAAUUGCUAAUUUAAAAUGAAUUUCAUGAAGCUUAUAUAUUGCUUUGUUCCUUUGCUUAAUAGUUUUGCUUUGUCAAAUCUUUUGCAAUUGUUUACAAAUGCGCAAAAAGUGAAUUGAUUUUUUACGAAUCUAUAUCUCAUU